rnacentral:rRNA from 1 species
AUUGAACGCUGGCGGCAGGCCUAACACAUGCAAGUCGAACGGUAACAGGAAGAAGCUUGCUUCUUUGCUGACGAGUGGCGGACGGGUGAGUAAUGUCUGGGAAACUGCCUGAUGGAGGGGGAUAACUACUGGAAACGGUAGCUAAUACCGCAUAACGUCGCAAGAUCAAAGAGGGGGACCUUCGGGCCUCUUGCCAUCGGAUGUGCCCAGAUGGGAUUAGCUAGUAGGUGGGGUAACGGCUCACCUAGGCGACGAUCCCUAGCUGGUCUGAGAGGAUGACCGGCCACACUGGAACUGAGACACGGUCCAGACUCCUACGGGAGGCAGCAGUGGGGAAUAUUGCACAAUGGGCGCAAGCCUGAUGCAGCCAUGCCGCGUGUAUGAAGAAGGCCUUCGGGUUGUAAAGUACUUUCAGCGGGGAGGAAGGGAGUAAAGUUAAUACCUUUGCUCAUUGACGUUACCCGCAGAAGAAGCACCGGCUAACUCCGUG